UACAGAGGUCCCAAGCGUUGUUCGGAUUCACUGGGCGUAAAGGGUGCGUAGGCGGUCGGGUAAGUCUGAUGUGAAAUCUCCAAGCUCAACUUGGAAAUGGCAUCGGAUACUAUUCGGCUGGAGGAAUGGAGGGGAGACUGGAAUUCUCGGUGUAGCAGUGAAAUGCGUAGAUAUCGAGAGGAACACCAGUGGCGAAGGCGAGUCUCUGGACAUUUCCUGACGCUGAGGCACGAAAGCCAGGGGAGCAAACGGG
rnacentral:rRNA from 1 species